GGAGCGUGAAGAAGGACACAAGAGUUGACUAUCUCCGUCUCGUUAUCAUCGGUGUUACAGGUAGGUUACUCCUGGAAAGGUUCCCUGUUGUUCCACAUGGUCUCUCUUUAUGGAGGAUGGCUCUCAUGGUGGUUAUCUGGAUUCCCAAACCUUUUGAAACCGUUCCAUUGGAAACAGGUAUUUCUACCAGCAUUAUGAAGCAGUGAGUAACAUUCAAGGGAAGGAACAACAAGGCUGGGAGACAGGAACAUAGCACAGAUUUCUGCCACGGGAGCCAGCAGCCAGACC